rnacentral:rRNA from 1 species
AACGAACGCUGGCGGCAUGCCUAACACAUGCAAGUCGAACGAGACCUUCGGGUCUAGUGGCGCACGGGUGCGUAACGCGUGGGAACCUGCCCUUAGGUUCGGAAUAACUCCCCGAAAGGGGUGCUAAUACCGGAUAAUUUCUUCGGACCAAAGAUUUAUCGCCUUUGGAUGGGCCCGCGUUGGAUUAGCUAGUUGGUAGGGUAAAAGCCUACCAAGGCGACGAUCCAUAGCUGGUCUGAGAGGAUGAGCAGCCACACUGGGACUGAGACACGGCCCAGACUACUACGGGAGGCAGCAGUAAAGAAUAUUGGACAAUGGGCGAAAGCCUGAUCCAGCAAUGCCGCGUGAGUGAUGAAGGCCUUAGGGUUGUAAAGCUCUUUUACCCGGGAUGAUAAUGACAGUACCGGGAGAAUAAGCUCCGGCUAACUCCGUG